rnacentral:rRNA from 1 species
AUUGAACGCUGGCGGCAGGCUUAACACAUGCAAGUCAAGCGGAGUGAUGGUGCUUGCACUAUCACUUAGCGGCGGACGGGUGAGUAAUGCUUAGGAAUCUGCCUAUUAGUGGGGGACAACAUCUCGAAAGGGAUGCUAAUACCGCAUACGUCCUACGGGAGAAAGCAGGGGAUCACUUGUGACCUUGCCCUAAGAGAUGUGCCUACGUCGGAUUAGCUAGUUGGUGGGGUAAAGGCCUACCAAGGCGACGAUCUGUAGCGGGUCUGAGAGGAUGAUCCGCCACACUGGGACUGAGACACGGCCCAGACUCCUACGGGAGGCAGCAGUGGGGAAUAUUGGACAAUGGGGGGAACCCUGAUCCAGCCAUGCCGCGUGUGUGAAGAAGGCCUUAUGGUUGUAAAGCACUUUAAGCGAGGAGGAGGCUACUUUAGUUAAUACCUAGAGAUAGUGGACGUUACUCGCAGAAUAAGCACCGGCUAACUCUGUGCCAGCCGCCGCGGUAA